rnacentral:lncRNA from 1 species
GUUUGUUUGUGGAUGCUAGCUAUAAGGUUAACAGACAGACAGUUUACCAUUGAUCUUGGUGUUUGUUUGUGGAUGUUAGCUAUUUAUAAGGUUAACAGACAGACAGUUUACCAUUGAUCUUGGUGUUUGUUUGUGGAUGCUAGCUAUAAGGUUAACAGACAGACAGUUUACCAUUGAUCUUGAUGUUUGUUUGUGGAUGCUAGCUAUAAUAGUUAACAGACAGACAGUUUACCAUUGAUCUAGGUGUUUGUUUGUGGAUGCUAGCUAUAAGAGUUAACAGACAGACAGUUUACCAUUGAUCUUGGUGUUUGUUUCACAGCUAGAGAGGAUCGUCUUCUCUUUUUCUGGUUAGGAACAGUUUCAUUGAAAUGUCUGUCUUCUGGAGAUCUUGUUCUAGCUCUUGUCCUCUUUACAGGAGCUGUAGUUGGAACAUUUUCAAUGAAUGCUUGCAACAUUGACCUUGGUGUGUCCUUUUUAGCCAUUCU